rnacentral:rRNA from 1 species
ACGGGGGGAGCAAGCGUUGUUCGGAUUUACUGGGCGUAAAGGGCGCGUAGGCGGCCACCGCAAGUCGACUGUGAAAUCUCCGGGCUUAACCCGGAAAGGUCAGCCGAUACUGCGGGGCUAGAGUGCAGAAGGGGCAACUGGAAUUCUCGGUGUAGCGGUGAAAUGCGUAGAUAUCUGAAGGAACAUCAGUGGCGAAAGCGACUUCCUGGACCAAUACUGACGCUCAUGUGCGAAAGCGUGGGGAGCAAACAGGG